AAUCAACGCUGGCGGCGUGCCUCAGACAUGCAAGUCGGAACGAUUAAAGCUCUCUUCGGAGAGUGUAUAGAGUGGCGCACGGGCGAGUAACACGUAAGUAAUCUACCCUCGAGUGGGGAAUAACGUCCGGAAACGGACGCUAAUACCGCAUAAUGCAGCGGCACCGCAAGGUGACAGUUGUUAAAGGAGAAAUUCGCUUGAGGAGGAGCUUGCGGCAGAUUAGCUUGUUGGUAAGGUAACGGCUUACCAAGGCUACGAUCUGUAACCGGUCUUAGAGGACGGUCGGUCACACUGACACUGAAUAACGGGUCAGACUCCUACGGGAGGCAGCAGUCGGGAAUUUUGGGCAAUGGGCGAAAGCCUGACCCAGCAACG
rnacentral:rRNA from 1 species